rnacentral:rRNA from 1 species
AGAACGAACGCUGGCGGCAGGCUUAACACAUGCAAGUCGAGCGCCCCGCAAGGGGAGCGGCAGACGGGUGAGUAACGCGUGGGAACAUACCCUCCGGUUCGGAAUAGCUCAGGGAAACUUGGAUUAAUACCGGAUACGGCCUAGCGGCGAAAGAUUCAUCGCCGGAGGAUUGGCCCGCGUCUGAUUAGCUAGUUGGUGGGGUAAUGGCCCACCAAGGCGACGAUCAGUAGCUGGUCUGAGAGGAUGAUCAGCCACAUUGGGACUGAGACACGGCCCAAACUCCUACGGGAGGCAGCAGUGGGGAAUAUGGACAAUGGGCGCAAGCCUGAUCCAGCCAUGCCGCGUGAGUGAUGACGGCCUUAGGGUUGUAAAGCUCUUUCGCUAGGGACGAUAAUGACGGUACCUAGACAAGAAGCCCCGGCUAACUUCGUGCCAGCAGCCGC